CUACGGGAGGCAGCAGUGGGGAAUCUUGGACAAUGGGCGCAAGCCUGAUCCAGCCAUGCCGCGUGGAUGAUGAAGGCCCUAGGGUUGUAAAAUCCUUUCGUCAGGGACGAUAAUGACGGUACCUGAAGAAGAAGCCCCGGCUAACUUCGUGCCAGCAGCCGCGGUAAUACGAAGGGGGCUAGCGUUGUUCGGAAUUACUGGGCGUAAAGCGCGUGUAGGCGGGUCGUUAAGUCGGGGGUGAAAGCCCAGAGCUCAACUCUGGAACUGCCUUCGAUACUGGCGAUCUGGACCCAAGGAGAGGCGAGUGGAAUUGCGAGUGUAGAGGUGAAAUUCGUAGAUAUUCGCAGGAACACCAGUGGCGAAGGCGACUCGCUGGACUUGUGGUGACGCUGAGACGCGAAAGCGUGGGGAGCAAACGGGAUUAGAAACCCGUGUAGUCC
rnacentral:rRNA from 1 species